AUUGAACGCUAGCGGCAGGCUUAACACAUGCAAGUCGAACGAGUGGCGGACGGGUGAGUAAUAUCUGGGAAAAUGCCUGAUGGAGGGGGAUAACUACUGGAAACGGUAGCUAAUACCGCAUACCCUCGGAUCUGCCCAUAUGGGAUUAGCUAGUAGGUGGGGUAAAGGCUCACAUAGGCGACGAUCCCUAGCUGGUCUGAGAGGAUGACCAGCCCCACUGGAACUGAGACACGGUCCAGACUCCUACGGUAGGCAGCAGGGGGGAAGAUUGCACAAUGGGCGCAAGCCUGAUGCAGCCAUGCCGCGUGUAUGAAGAAGGCCUUCGGGUUGUAAAGUACUUUCAGCGGGGAGGCGUUACCCGCAGAAGAAGCACCGGCUAACUCCGUGCCAGCAGCCGCGGUAAUUC
rnacentral:rRNA from 1 species